UCCCUGGUGGCUCAGAUGGUAAAGCGUCUGCCUGCAAUGCAGGAAACCUGGGUUCAAUUCCUAGGUUGGGAA
rnacentral:tRNA from 1 species